CAGCAAUUGGCUAAGGGGCUGCGGCUUUCCGAACCCUCUCUCCCGCCCGUGACUAUGAAUGGACAUCGGCGUUGUCAGUCACCCGUACUGCGCCGCAACCAGGCCCUUGGCCGGUCUUUCUGUCUUUCUUUCGUCGCUGAUUCCUACCUCAUCCUGGGCAAGUUCAGGGUAGCACUUGGGAGCAGAGGAGCUUCGGCAAGGAAAGUCAGCCCGCAUGGCCCUAACGUGACCGUCGGUUAUGGGAGGGUUUUAGGCCUAGGAGGAGCGUGGAAAGCGCACAGAGGAACUAAGGCUUUGCUACCGUUGGUCCAGGCGGACUGUGAGCCUCCAGUUCAAAAGCUGGACAGAGUUGGCGGCAGCGAAAACCGAGGAAUCCCAGCUGCGUCCUUAUCUUCUUCUUCCCACCCCAGGUCAAAGGCGCGCUUCGCAGAGCCCCAGGGCACGCGGUGCUGCAUGGGCCACGGUCCACGGAGGUAGGAGAAGGCCUGGGGUGCCAACCGCAGGGAACUUGAUGGGGCUGGAAGGGGACAGGGAGUUCCGGAAGAGGCCAAGAGUCGAAGCCUCAGCCGGUUACUCCCACGCCCCUACCUCCACAGGCCGGUAGGGGUAAGUCACCCGGGCCCUCUAGUCCGACUCUCAGCGGGCCGACACGGGCGGGCAGAGGGACCAGGAUGCUGUGGCCCUACGCCUUGCGCUCUGAGGCAUCACCGUCGGCCAAGACCCUAGCGGCAGCGGUUCCUGUCCCUCUCUGCGACCGUCCUCACGGCUGUGGCCGACCGGCUGUCCUGUGCCUCGGCGUCCCCCGCCAGCGUUCCGGGCUGGGAGCGUGGCCCAGGGCAGAGACAGGGGAGGGGAGGUGGCGCGCGCGGAAGAGAGGAAGAUAAGGGAGAGAGGCGGCUGGGGAGCCAGGCUGGCAGGAGCUGACCUGCGCCCUCAGCCUGGCUGGCAACCGGCCCUCCAUAGCAACGGCCUGCCAGAGCCUGUGGGCGCGCGCGUUUGUGCGCGCGCGCGCGAAUGUGUGCGGUGAAGAUCUGAGCCUUCCCAGUCCCUGGGUAACAGAGGCUGAACAGGAUCGCACAAUCCCGGGUCGGGGACCGAGGAGUCCCCUUCAGGAGGGAGGCUCAGCUUUGCAGGUGCGGCUGGCGCCUUAGGGCCCGGGAUCCCUCUCGGCCCGGGGUGGGGAUGCGCCCAUCUCAAGCUCGGUUUCAGGGUCCCGGGGCUCCUGGCCUCCUGCCCAAACCUCCUGUUGCAGCCGCAGGAUCAGGGAAUUGCGCGUGGUGCGGCUCGAGCGAGCGCCUGAGAUCUGGCCCGGAGCGUGCGCCCCCGUCGGCUGGCUCCCCAGAGCCCAGAGGGGCUGAGCGGAACAGGCCGAGCGACCCGUGGCCACCCUCCGCUGGGAACCUGCUCGCCGGCCUCAGGCGCUCCUCUUGUCCUCCAGCCACGUGGGAUUCCCUGCUGGCCCAGCCGCAUCCCGCAGCUCAGUUUCGGAGAACCGCGUGAGGGCCCGGCAGUGGGCCCCAGGAUCCUGAAGCCACCGAAUACAGGCUGAACCCCAGAGUAGGGCAUGCAGCUCCAGGCCAGAUGGCCAGCUUUGUGUUCUCCACAAAUUGAUGUGACUUGACAAGUAAGUGAGUAAAAAAUUAUUUCACGUAGUUUUCUGUCGUCCCAAAGGAUCCUACUUUCAUGUCAAAGCACCACACUAGAUUAGACCUGAACUGAAAAACCCAGUCUUUCCAACAAGUGGAGGAAGGAUGGGCUCGGAGGUGGCUCAAUGUAAGUUGGAUUUUGGUCACUUUCAAAAGAGUGAGAUGGCUUUAAAGGCACCAUAGAAAAGUACGUUCCCCCCCCCCCCGGGCUUCCCCUGUGGUGGGCAGUGACUUGCCGUGGACAGCCCUGACCCAUGGCCCCUGCUUCCCAUGGACAGCCUCCAGGAUUCUGCUUGAUCCCACACCAUGCUGGUCAGUUCCCAAGGGGAAAGACAGACUCUCCAAGAAAUUCAGGAAAAGAAGUGUUUGUAAUUUAAGUGGGGACCCAUUUAGCCUGCUGCUUCAGAAACAGCCCUAUCUGAGAUACCACUGUCCCCAAAACUGGGCGUGAAAACCAAGACCUCUGGGAUCCUAAAGGAGUCAUGGGACUUACGGCUCUGGCCGUCCCUGUAGGCGAUGCCCAUAGACUAUGGUGGGGUGCUGGUGCCCUGUGAGAACCUCUGUCUGGUAGCUUGUGAAUGUGGACAUGGGAUGGGACAUAGAUAGGAAGUGGUCAUCUACAUGGGUCACUCACAUCCACUAGAGAGACUGGAACAGGAUGAACACGGGCAGCUGUGCUUGGCUGCUCAGGGGGCACCCAUGUUUAGUCCUGAACCCCAAGAUGGGGUGGUGGUGCUGGGGAGCAAGCGACAGCCCAGCUCCUAGGGUUGGCACCCCAAGGAUGCCAGCUCUGGCACUGUCAAUACACAUUCGAGGUCCCACGCAUGGUGAGCGUCUGCACUGCCUUGGCCUGUUCCUCUCUCUGGCCACCACACCACCUUCUGGACCCAGGAGAAAGGCCUUUCCCCGCAGCCUGGACCUCCUCAAGCAUCACUUCCUGUGGACACGCAGCUGUGCAUCACGUCACCCCAGUGAGCCCCAGCCCGACUUCUUCUGUGGGCUGGCAGCCCAUACCCUGCAGGGCUGGUGCACAGCUAUCAGGAGCAAGGACCCUGGCUACCAGGCGAAGACCGUGAGCUGCUCCUGCCAUCGUGUAACCCUGGGAUGAUAGUGUAGC
ensembl:lncRNA